UUUGGCAUCGCGGACCUGUACCCAAGCUUUGUAAGCAGACUCUUUAAGGGCUUCAGCAUGGGCGCACUCAGCGUUGUACCAAGUUCAUACAUAUAUUAUG